CGUCGUUGCAUCGUCGUUGCAUCGUCGUUGCAUCGUCGUUGCAUCGUCGGUGCAUCGUCGGUGCAUCGUCG